UACGGAGGGUGCAAGCGUUAUCCGGAUUCACUGGGCGUAAAGGGCGCGUAGGCGGCCCUCCUUGUCGCGUGUGAAAGCCCCGGGCUCAACCUGGGAACGGCGCGCGAGACGGGGGGGCUGGAGUUCGGGAGAGGAGCGUGGAAUUCCCAGUGUAGAGGUGAAAUUCGUAGAUAUUGGGAAGAACACCGGUGGCGAAGGCGGCGCUCUGGACCGAGACUGACGCUGAGGCGCGAAAGCGUGGGGAGCAAACAGG
rnacentral:rRNA from 1 species